rfam:Triticum aestivum genome assembly, contig: Triticum_aestivum_CS42_TGACv1_scaffold_222515_3B
AAUAUACUCCCUCCGUCUGGAAAUACUUGUCAUCAAAAUGAAUAAAAGGGGACGAAUCUAGAUGUAUUUUAGUUCUAGAUACAUCUCUUUUUGUCCAUUUUGAUGACAAGUAUUUUCAGACAGAGGGAGUACAAG